AUAUAAGUAAAAAUCUAUUUUUUUAGAUACAUUCAAUUAAUGAUGUAUGUAGUCUUUAUUAUAUGUCACAUGCAUCAUUAAUUGAAUGUAUCUAAAAAAUGGAUUUUUGUUUAUAU
rfam:Medicago truncatula strain A17 chromosome 1, whole genome shotgun sequence.